rnacentral:lncRNA from 1 species
AGGACCAAUCGAUACCGGAUUAAGUCCAAAACUUGGGGAACAUCAUAAUAUUGUGGGAGUUGUCAUUUGAUGGGUUUUGAGUGAAAUCCAAUCCCUGGAACUAUACAACACACCAACCACUCCAUUUCAGAACGAACUUCGUACGAACCUGAAUUGUCCGAUUUCAAGGACCAAUCAAUAUCGGAUUAAGUUCAAAACAUGGGGAACAUCAUAAUAUUGUGGGAGGAGUCAUUUGGUGGGUUUUGAGUGAAAUACAAUCCCUAGAACUAUACAGUACACCAGCCACUCCAUUUCAGAACGAACUUCGUAUGAACCUGAAUUGUCCGAUUUCAAGGACCAAUCGAUAUCGGAUUGAGUCCAAAACUUGGGGAACAUCAUAAUAUUGUGGGAGGAGUCAUUUGGUG